UAAGCUAUAAUACCCUAGCAGCUUGUGCAGC
rnacentral:piRNA from 1 species